rnacentral:lncRNA from 1 species
AAUCAUUCCCUCACUGAUUACCGAUAAGGACACUAAACCUGGAACUGCCACCAUUAUCGCCUUGAUUAUUGUUUCCCUCAUCACUCGUGCUCUGUCCCAUCUAUCGUUGCCAGUGUUCAACCAACAAUCACAACCCAUAGUUUUCCUCUUCAACCUUCCAUUGGAUUUCAUAGGCUUUCGAUGGUAACGAAUUAUGAGAUCCCUCAUCCAGUGGUUGUGCAUUCUACAAUUUGGGACAUGAAUAAUUGCUAUGCCCAUAAAG